rnacentral:lncRNA from 1 species
ACAAGCAUCAAACUUGGAUAGAACAUGACAAGAAAGUGCCUUGAUGAAAUCUCAAGCUCCCCAGGAUUUGAAAGAACAGAGAAGUACCUCCAGCCUUGGGCUCUUAACUUUGCUGCUAAUCAUGAGCAUGCCUGGAUCAAUUUAAACUCCAAUGCUCAAACAAGCCAUCUCCAGACAUUUGGUCUUUGUUGAUUUCUGUUGCAGCAAAUCCUGUUUCAGAAGAAAAGGUAGCUUGCCUUUGUCCAUCCCAGGGAUUCUUCCAAACUUAGUGGUGAAAUCUUCAUUCUAUAAUAGUUUCUUUGACAGCCGCAGAAAGGACGACAGCCUUA